AACGAACGCUUGGCGGGCAGGCCUAACACAUGCAAGUCGAGCGCUGUAGCAAUACAGAGCGGGCGCACGGGAGAAGUAACGCGUGGGAACCUACCUUUUGGUUCGGGAUAAACACCGGGAAACUGGUGCUAAUACCGGAUAAGUCCUUCGGGGGAAAGAUUUAUUGCCGAAAGAUGGGCCCGCGUUGGAUUAGCUAGUUGGUGAGGUAAUGGCUCACCAAGGCUACGAUCCAUAGCUGGUCUGAGAGGAUGAUCAGCCUCACUGGGACUGAGACACGGCCCAGACUCCCACGGGAGGCAGCAGUGGGGAAUAUUGGACAAUGGGGGAAACCCUGAUCCAGCCAUGCCGCGUGAAUGAUGAAGGCCUUCGGGUUGUAAAGUUCUUUUGACAGGGACGAUGAUGACGGUAAACCUGUAGAAUAAGCUCCGGCUAACUUCGUGCCAGCAGCCGCGGUAAUACGAAAGGGAGCUAGCGUUGUUCGGAAUUACUGGGCGUAAAGGGCGCGUAGGCGGUUCGACAAGUUGGAUGUGAAAGCCCAGGGCUCAACCCUGGAAUUGCAUUCAAGACUGUCUUACUUGAAUUCGGUAGAGGUUGGUAGAAUUCCCAGUGUAGAGGUGAAAUUCGUAGAAGAUUGGGAAGAAUACCCGUGGCGAAGGCGGCCAACUGGACCGACAUUGACCGCUGAGGCGCGAAAGCGUGGGGAGCAAACAGGUUUAGAUACCCUGGUAGUCCACGCCGUAAACGAUGCCUGCUAAGAACGUUGGAAAGAACUUAAGUCCUUCUUGUGUCGCGAGCUAACGCAUUAAGCAUGCCGCCUGGAGACGCACGGCCGCAAGGUUGAAAUCUCAAAUGAUAUUUGACGGGGGCCCGCGACAAGCGGUGGAGUAUGUGGUUUAAUUCGACGCAACGCGAAGAACCUUACCAACCUUUGACAUGUCCAGUAUGGGUCUAGGAGACUAGACUCUUCAGUUCGGCUGGCUGGAACACAGGUGCUGCAUGGCUGUCGUCAGCUCGUGUCGUGAGAUGUUGGGUUAAGUCCCGCAACGAGCGCAACCCUCAUCUUCAGUUGCCCCCAGGUUAUGCUGGGCACUCUGAAGAAA
rnacentral:rRNA from 1 species